rnacentral:rRNA from 1 species
CAGCCGCCGCGGGAAUACGGAGGGUGCAAGCGUUAUCCGGAUUUAUUGGGUUUAAAGGGUCCGUAGGCGGACUUAUAAGUCAGUGGUGAAAGCCUGUCGCUUAACGAUAGAACUGCCAUUGAUACUGUAAGUCUUGAGUAUAUUUGAGGUAGCUGGAAUAAGUAGUGUAGCGGUGAAAUGCAUAGAUAUUACUUAGAACACCAAUUGCGAAGGCAGGUUACCAAGAUAUAACUGACGCUGAGGGACGAAAGCGUGGGGAGCGAACAGGAUUAGAGACCCGCGUAGUCCCUGUCUCUUAUAC